rnacentral:rRNA from 1 species
AGUGAACGCUGGCGGUAUGCCUAACACAUGCAAGUCGAACGGCAGCACAGUAAGAGCUUGCCCUUACGGGUAGCGAGUGGCGGACGGGUGAGGAAUACAUCGGAAUCUACUAUUUCGUGGGGGAUAACGUAGGGCAACUGACGCUAAUACCUCAUAUGUCCUACGGGUGAGAUCAGGGGUUCUUCGGACCUUGCGCGAUUGAAUGAGCCGAUGUCGGAUUAGCUAGUUGGCGGGGUAAAGGCCCACCAAGGCGACGAUCCGUAGCUGGUCUGAGAGGAUGAUCAGCCACACUGGAACUGAGACACGGUCCAGACUCCUACGGGAGGCAGCAGUGGGGAAUCUUGGACAAUGGGCGAAAGCCUGAUCCAGCCAUACCGCGUGGGUGAAGAAGGUCUUCGGGUUGUAAAGCCCUUUUGUUGGGAAAGAACAGCAGCAUGUUAAUAUCCCGAUGUUCUGACGGUACCUAAAGAAUAAGCCCCGGCUAACUUCGUG